CAGCCGCCGCGGUAAUACGGAGGGGGCUAGCGUUGUUCGGAAUUACUGGGCGUAAAGCGCGCGUAGGUGGCCAUUUAAGUCCGCUGUGAAAGUCAAAGGCUCAACCUUUGAAAGCCGGUGGAUACUGGAUGGCUAGAGUACGGAAGAGGCGAGUGGAAUUCCUGGUGUAGCGGUGGAAUGCGCAGAUAUCAGGAGGAACACCAAUAGCGAAGGCAGCUCGCUGGGACGUUACUGACACUGAGGCGCGAAAGCGUGGGGAGCGAACAGGAUUAGAGACCCCAGUAGUCCCUGUCUCUUAUAC
rnacentral:rRNA from 1 species